rnacentral:misc_RNA from 1 species
GAUGAAGAACGCAGCGAAAUGAGAUAAGUAAUGUGAAUUGCAGAAUUCAGUGAAUCAUCGAAUCUUUGAACGCACAUUGCGCCCUUUGGCAUUCCGAAGGGCACACCUGUCCGAGCGCCGUCGCACAACUGAGGCGCAGCCUUGCGUUGGCGGGCGACUUGUGAGUAGCGAGUCGCCGCCCAAACGAGACGGCGCCGCGCCGCGGCCGACGAAGCACGAAAGCGGAAGUCGACGCGGAGGCGGUUGCCUGUAGGAAGACACAGCUUGGCCUCGGAUCAGGUGGGGAUACCCGCUGAACUUAAGCAUAUCAAUAAGCGGAGGA